AUGGUGGUAACGGGUAACGGGGUGUUAGGGCACGACACCGGAGAGGGAGCCUGAGAAACGGCUACCACAUCCAAGGAUGGCAGCAGGCGCGCAAAUUACCCAAUCCCGACACGGGGAGGUAGUGACAAUAAAUAACAAUACGGGGUUCUUUAGGAUCUCGUAAUUGGAAUGAGUACAAUUUAAAUCUCUUAACGAGGAACAAUUGGAGGGCAAGUCUGGUGCCAGCAGCCGCGGUAAUUCCAGCUCCAAUAGCGUAUAUUAAAGUUGUUGCAGUUAAAAAGCUCGUAGUUGAAUUUCGGGGUUAGUAGGUUGGUCAUGCCUCUGGUAUGUACUGGUCUCACUGAUUCCUCCUUCCUUAUGAACCGUAAUGCCAUUAAUUUGGUGUUGCGGGGAAUUUGGACUGUUACUUUGAAAAAAUUAGAGUGUUUAAAGCAAGCUAACGCUUGAAUACAUUAGCAUGGAAUAAUGAAAUAGGACGUUCGAUCUUAUUUUGUUGGUUUCUAGGAUUGACGUAAUGAUUAAUAGGGAUAGUUGGGGGCAUUAGUAUUCAAUUGUCAGAGGUGAAAUUCUUGGAUUUAUUGAAGACUAACUACUGCGAAAGCAUUUGCCAAGGAUGUUUUCAUUAAUCAAGAACGAAAGUUAGGGGAUCGAAGACGAUCAGAUACCGUCGUAGUCUUAACCAUAAACUAUGCCGACUAGGGAUCGGAUGA
rnacentral:rRNA from 1 species